rnacentral:rRNA from 1 species
ACAGCAGCCGCCACGGGAAUACAGAGGGUGCGAGCGUUAAUCGGAUUUACUGGGCGUAAAGCGUGCGUAGGCGGCUUCUUAAGUCGGAUGUGAAAUCCCUGAGCUUAACUUAGGAAUUGCAUUCGAUACUGGGAAGCUAGAGUAUGGGAGAGGAUGGUAGAAUUCCAGGUGUAGCGGUGAAAUGCGUAGAGAUCUGGAGGAAUACCGAUGGCGAAGGCAGCCAUCUGGCCUAAUACUGACGCUGAGGUACGAAAGCAUGGGGAGCAAACAGGAUUAGAGCCCGAGUAGUCCCUGUCUCUUAUACA